UCCGAGUUGACCCCGGCAGUCUCCCAUGAGUCCCCGCCAUCACGCGCUGGCAACAUGGAACAAGGGUUGCGCUCGUUGCGGGACUUAACCCAACAUCUCACGACACGAGCUGACGACAACCAUGCACCACCUGUCACCGAGCCCCAAAGGGCCACACCAUCUCUGGCAUGUUCCCGGCAAUGUCAAACCCAGGUAAGGUUCUUCGCGUUGCAUCGAAUUAAGCCGCAUGCUCCGCCGCUUGUGCGGGCCCCCGUCAAUUCCUUUGAGUUUUAGCCUUGCGGCCGUACUCCCCAGGCGGGGCGCUUAAAGCGUUAGCUACGGCACAGAAACCGUGAACCAGUCCCCACACCUAGCGCCCAACGUUUACAGCAUGGACUAC
rnacentral:misc_RNA from 1 species